rnacentral:rRNA from 1 species
AUUGAACGCUGGCGGUAGGCCUAACACAUGCAAGUCGAACGCGAAAGUCCUUCGGGAUGAGUAGAGUGGCGGACGGGUGAGUAACGCGUAGGAAUCUAUCCUGUAGUGGGGGAUAACGUUUCGAAAGGGACGCUAAUACCGCAUACGCCCCAAGGGGGAAAGCGGGGGAUCUUCGGACCUCGUGCUAUAGGAGGAGCCUGCGUCGGCUUAGCUAGUUGGUGAGGUAAAGGCUCACCAAGGCGACGAUCCGUAGCUGGUCUGAGAGGAUGAUCAGCCACACCGGACCGGAGACACGGUCCGGACUCCUACGGGAGGCAGCAGUGGGGAAUAUUGCGCAAUGGGCGAAAGCCUGACGCAGCCAUACCGCGUGUGUGAAGAAUGCCUUCGGGUUGUAAAGCACUUUCAGUGGGGAGGAAAAGCUGGUGGCUAAUAUCCAUCGGCCGUGACGCUACCCACAGAAGAAGCACCGGCUAAUUCCGUGCCAGCCGCCGCGGUAAAAC